rnacentral:lncRNA from 1 species
AAAAUUCUAGAAUGCAACGAGUAUAUUAGUAACGUGGCGUAACAGGCCAAUCAAAUUAAUUCUUUUAAGAAUAUAUGUCCCAUCAUAGUUAUAAAAAAAUAUUUUUAUUGUACUUUUGUUUGAAAAGAAGGAAUAUGAUUGGCUUGUUAUUGAUGAUGUGGUGUAAGUGUGACAGUGUAGAAUUCCUCCUUAACUAGAUAUAUAUAAAACUAGGCUGCUAUACUAUUAAUAAUGUCAAGUUAUUGGUACUAUUAGAUUUUGGCCCUUGGAUGAAAGGAUGUGCAGUUAGGAUAAUAGUGAUCUCUUAAUGAUCCAACGGAUAAAAAUGGUCAAAGGGAUAGAUCUAAUGGCAGAGAACUUGGUAGUACCAAGUAUUUGGUGUUAUCGAUAAUAUUAUAGCCGGACUAUAUAUAUAUAUAGGGUCUGGCUACUAUACUAUUAUGAGUACGAUCGCCCUCGUACUCAUAAGUUGUUUUCAAUGAUAGAGCUUCCGAAUCGACGAUCCACACCGUUAAACGUUAUUUAUAAUAUUUAAAAUUUCUAGAAAUCAAAUUUUAUAAAUUUUCGACAUCAUUAACCUUACGAUCAAGAGUUCACGAAUUUGACAAUUUUUAACGGCCGGUAUGGGAUACUUGCUAGUUUAACAGUGUAAAAGAAUCAAAAUUUGUUGAAUUUUUGAUAGAAAAUUCUAUUCACUAUACAGAUAAAGAUCAAUAACUCUGAUCUUGAAUUGAAGGAUCCAAUCAUUCUUUUUUAGGACGUCGUUCGAUUUUGACUGUUCAUUUUAUGCCCACUUGAUGGACUUUAUUAUAAUUUCGAAAAUUUAUGAAAUUUAUUUCUAGAAGUUUCAAAUACUCUGGAUCAUAUUUAACGGAGUGGAUCGUCGAUUCGGAAGCGCUAUCAUUGAAAAUAACUUAUGAGUACGAGCGCUCCAAUACUCAUAAUAGUAUAGUAGCCAUGGCCUAUAUAUAUAGUAGGUCUUGUGUGCUCUCAGGAGCACGGAGACCUCCGUUCUCCUAAGCCGUUUUUGAUAAUGGAGCUUCCGAAUCAACGAUCAACUUGGGUAGACUUGAUUUAGCAUAUUUGAAGUAUCUAGAAAAUAAAUUUUGUUAAAUUUUAAUAUCAUUUACCUAACGAUCGGAAUGGUUCAAAAUCAACGGCUGAAAAUAAAAAUCUUACAAAAAGUGGUGAUAUAGCAUGAAAAUUUUCGAUCAAACAUAUUAAUCUUGCUGUAAAUAGUAUAAAGAAUUUUCUAUCAAAAUUUCAUCUGAUUUGAAUACUUCUACACCAUUAAACUUGCAAACGAUAUACAUCAACCAUUAAAAAUUGUUGAUUUUAAACCUUUUCGAUCGCUAGGAAAAUGAUACCAAAAAAUCACAAAAAUUAUUUUCUAGAUAGUUCAAAUACGCUAGAUCAAGCCUAACGGAGCCGAUCGUCGAUUCGGAAGUUCCAUCAUCGAAAAUGGCUUAGGAACACGAAGACCUCCGUGCUCCUAAUAGCACAUAAGACCUACUAU